CACCACCACCAUCAACACCGUCCAUGUUCACCCUGUUUAUUAUCACCACAGCACUUCCUAUUUCCUCCAGAUGGAUCCCUACCCUGACCCAACCCCUUCUGACAACAUCGCUGUGAUGUCUGGGCAUUCAGAGAGCUUGGGGUAUCAGCUGUCUCUCUUCUCUUUUCUUCCUUCCCUUCCUACUGCUUUUACCCUGGCCUCUGCCUGCUGCCUGCUGCUGCUUGUUGACCUCUGGGAGGUGUGGUGGGGAAUCUUUCCCUGUCCUUUUCCUUCCUCAAUUCAGAAGAUUCCUUAUCAAGGUCAGCUUAAUUUCCUACACCUGUCUUCCCUUUGCUGUUUGGGGUUUUCUCUAAAAAUGAGUAACAGUCCUCUUCCCUCAUGAUCCUAUAUCACUUGUUUAAAUUGUGCAC
rnacentral:lncRNA from 1 species